AUGCCCACGCUCGGCGGCGGUUCUGCGGGAUCUGGACACGGCGUCAUCAAGGGGAAGAAAGGGAAGACGAUUGCUGACAGUAAUGACCCUGGUAAAGCGUUUGCAAACAAGUUUAGAGUCACAUAUGGAAAGUACGAGUCUGAGGCGAAUUCUGAAGAUUGGAAUAGUAUUCUCUCCAUAGAAAAGAUGCUGAGCCUUCCUCCUGAUCGUGAACCGAAGGAGUAUUUCACGGAAUUGGACCAAAAUCUGUAUAAGGUAGUCAAAAUCAUCGAAGGAAGGAAGUUGGAACCCAAGAGAGAGAGAGAUUGGUGA
rnacentral:rRNA from 1 species